GUCUUGUGCCAUCCUUAAGGAACAGGAAAGACGAGCUUACCCAAAUCAGAAGAGUAAAGUGAGAUGAUGUGGAGCUUGAAAGGUCAUUGGUGACAGAAAAUACAGCCUCCCUAUGGUGGGAGCAGAGGAGGGCCAAAAGUGAGUUCAGUCCUGAUAAAAGCAUUUAAUUUCCACAUACUCUCACUGGAAGAAGUUUGGUUUCUCUGCAGAUGCCCAGAGAAGAGACUGAGUUCACUUCAUUUGUGCACAUAUUUCACUGUUGAUGAAUCAAACCAACAUGAAAUGGGUCACUAGGAAAUUGACUUACUUUUGAAUGACACCUGGUAAAAGAUAACAGAAGCGGAGAACCACAGAAAGUAUUUGGAAGUUCAGCAGAAUAUGCAACAAGCCAAAAAGCUGAUAAUUUCUAUACCUCUUAUUUACUUCUCACUGCCUUCUGAUUGUGUGGACAAAUGGUACCUUCAGGACAAGGCAUUUCCACAAUGCUUGACUGGUGGAGAUGUAGUCAGAACCUGGUGGUUGACAGAAUUAGACGACACAAGAGACAUAGUUAGGAGUAGCUUGGAAGUCAUGGAAAAAAUGAAUGUGAAAAAAUUCAUUAUGGUGAACUCUACAACUGAGUCAAAAAAGAGAUGAGAGCACUGGAUUCUGGGAAACAUACUACGAAAGUUACAAUCAUAAUAAAUUAGGAGGAGCUACAUGGGAGCA
rnacentral:lncRNA from 1 species